AAACAAAUGUGAGAGCCUGCAAAGCUGUUGGACACCCCUUUGUAAUUCAGCUUGGAAGAAUUUAUUUAGAUAUGCUUAAUGUAUACAAGUGCCUCAGUGAAAAUAUUUCUGCAGCUAUCCAAGCUAAUGGUGAAAUGGUUACAAAGCAACCAUUGAUUAGAAGUAUGCGAACUGUAAAAAGGGAAACUUUAAAGUUAAUAUCUGGUUGGGUGAGCCGAUCCAAUGAUCCACAGAUGGUCGCUGAAAAUUUUGUUCCCCCUCUGUUGGAUGCAGUUCUCAUUGAUUAUCAGAGAAAUGUCCCAGCUGCUAGAGAACCAGAAGUGCUUAGUACUAUGGCCAUAAUUGUCAACAAGUUAGGGGGACAUAUAACAGCUGAAAUACCUCAAAUAUUUGAUGCUGUUUUUGAAUGCACAUUGAAUAUGAUAAAUAAGGACUUUGAAGAAUAUCCUGAACAUAGAACGAACUUUUUCUUACUACUUCAGGCUGUCAAUUCUCAUUGUUUCCCAGCAUUCCUUGCUAUUCCACCUACACAGUUUAAACUUGUUUUGGAUUCCAUCAUUUGGGCUUUCAAACAUACUAUGAGGAAUGUCGCAGAUACGGGCUUACAGAUACUUUUUACACUCUUACAAAAUGUUGCACAAGAAGAAGCUGCAGCUCAGAGUUUUUAUCAAACUUAUUUUUGUGAUAUUCUCCAGCAUAUCUUUUCUGUUGUGACAGACACUUCACAUACUGCUGGUUUAACAAUGCAUGCAUCAAUUCUUGCAUAUAUGUUUAAUUUGGUUGAAGAAGGAAAAAUAAGUACAUCAUUAAAUCCUGGAAAUCCAGUUAACAACCAAAUCUUUCUUCAGGAAUAUGUGGCUAAUCUCCUUAAGUCGGCCUUCCCUCACCUACAAGAUGCUCAAGUAAAGCUCUUUGUGACAGGGCUUUUCAGCUUAAAUCAAGAUAUUCCUGCUUUCAAGGAACAUUUAAGAGAUUUCCUAGUUCAAAUAAAGGAAUUUGCAGGUGAAGACACUUCUGAUUUGUUUUUGGAAGAGAGAGAAAUAGCCCUACGGCAGGCUGAUGAAGAGAAACAUAAACGUCAAAUGUCUGUCCCUGGCAUCUUUAAUCCACAUGAGAUUCCAGAAGAAAUGUGUGAUUAAAAUCCAAAUUCAUGCUGUUUUUUUUCUCUGCAACUCGUUAGCAGAGGAAAACAGCAUGUGGGUAUUUGUCGACC
rnacentral:lncRNA from 1 species